CUACGUGCCAGCAGCCGCGGUAAUACGGAGGGUGCGAGCGUUAAUCGGAAUAACUGGGCGUAAAGGGCACGCAGGCGGCUAUUUAAGUGAGGUGUGAAAUCCCCGGGCUUAACCUGGGAAUUGCAUUUCAUACUGGGUCGCUAGAGUACUUUAGGGAGGGGUAGAAUUCCACGUGUAGCGGUGAAAUGCGUAGAGAUGUGGAGGAAUACCGAAGGCGAAGGCAGCCCCUUGGGAAUGUACUGACGCUCAUGUGCGAAAGCGUGGGGAGCAAACAGGAUUAGAUACCCUGGUAGUCCACGCUAUAAACGAUGUCGAUUUGGGGGUUGAGCUUUGAGCUUGGCGCCCGUAGCUAACGUGAUAAAUCGACCGCCUGGGGAGUACGGCCGCAAGGUUAAAACUCAAAUGAAUUGACGGGGGCCCGCACAAGCGGUGGAGCAUGUGGUUUAAUUCGAUGCAACGCGAAGAACCUUACCUACUCUUGACAUCCAGA
rnacentral:rRNA from 1 species